rnacentral:rRNA from 1 species
UACAGAGGUCUCAAGCGUUGUUCGGAUUCAUUGGGCGUAAAGGGUGUGUAGGUGGCGCUGUAAGUCGGGUGUGAAAUCUCGGGGCUUAACUCCGAAACUGCAUUCGAUACUGCGGUGCUUGAGGACUGGAGAGGAGACUGGAAUUCAUGGUGUAGCAGUGAAAUGCGUAGAGAUCAUGAGGAAGACCAGUGGCGAAGGCGGCAUCCUGGACCGAUACUGACGCUGAGGAGCGAAAGCGUGGGGAGCGAACAGG